UACGGAGGGUGCAAGCGUUAAUCGGAAUUACUGGGCGUAAAGCGCACGUAGGCGGUCUGUUAUGUCGGAUGUGAAAGCCCUUGGCUCAACUGAGGAAGUGCAUCCGAAACUGGCAGGCUAGAGUACGUAAGAGGGUCGCGGGAAUUCCCGGUGUAGAGGUGAAAUUCGUAGAUAUCGGGAGGAACACCGGUGGCGAAGGCGGCGACCUGGACGAUACUGACGCUGAGGUGCGAAAGCGUGGGGAGCAAACAGG
rnacentral:rRNA from 1 species